CUGGCGGCGUGCCUAAUACAUGCAAGUCGAACGGUCUUUCUAUGGAAGCUUGCUUCCACUGAGAAGAUAGUGGCGAACGGGUGAGUAACACGUGGGUAACCUGCCCAUAAGAGGGGGAUAACAUCCGGAAACGAGUGCUAAUACCGCAUAGUUUUCUUGAUCGCAUGAUCGGGAAAGGAAAGACGGCCUUUGUGCUGUCGCUUAUGGAUGGACCCGCGGCGUAUUAGUUAGUUGGUGAGGUAACGGCUCACCAAGACGAUGAUACGUAGCCGACCUGAGAGGGUGAUCGGCCACAUUGGGACUGAGACACGGCCCAAACUCCUACGGGAGGCAGCAGUAGGGAAUCUUCCGCAAUGGACGAAAGUCUGACGGAGCAACGCCGCGUGAGUGAAGAAAGGUUUUCGGAUCGUAAAACUCUGUUGUCAGAGAAGAACAAGUUGGAGAGUAACUGCUCCAGCCUUGACGGUAUCUGACCAGAAAGCCACGGCUAACUACGUGCCAGCCGCCGC
rnacentral:rRNA from 1 species